UCUGGGGUUACUGUCUGUGCCUGUGUUGUGUGUGUUGGUUGCCACUAAGUCCAAAAUCCUUUUGGGGAGAGACAAACUAUAAAGAUUCCCUGUGUUUUGGGAGACCUUGUUCUGAAAUGGAGGUCUCCAUCUGUUUUUAAAUAAUACCUUUCCGGUAAGAAAGAAUAAGCAUUUUUUUCCUGGCACUGAAAACGUUUGGGCUGCACAGAAAGUAACACAUCAAACCAUAAGAAAGUUUGGGAUAUUGGCUGCCUAACCUCCUGCUUUUUCUGUUCCUUGCCUUAGGACAGACAGAAGGAAGCCCUUCCAGAGCAGGAGGUGGAGAUGCAAGGGCAGGAACCGGGACCUGCCAAGCGCCUCACUGCUGCUCAAAGAAUGGAGAAAUUGCUUUAAAAUCAACAAAUUAUGAAGCAGUGGAAGUGAGGUGAGGUAGGGUUACAAAGGUAUGUGGAAGUAUGAUCAUGCGCCCAUGGAUAGUUGAAUCAGUGUAACUGUAUAAAUUGAAAUAGGUACAAUCUCGAAGGUGCUCAUCCCAAUAUGUUCUCAGUUAGUUAGUUAGAAAUGCUUUGCAUGUAACUCCAUGUGUUUUACUGUGUGCAUGAAAAAAUCUUCUUUCUGAAUAUGUGGUCAUUGAAAUCCACUGAAAGGUUAACUCAUAAGUGGUGGGACUGGCUGAAAAGCUGAGUUAUGGUCAUGUUGUAUAUACAGAGUGGAAGACAUGUGCUUGCUUUCUUCCUCUUCUCUUCUCCAUAAAGGAGGACCUGUUGUCAUGUUGACCUCUAAGGAGGAUGAGCUCAUGCAUCAUGAGCUAUGUGUUCGUGAGUAUCCUGAAACCUGAAAUAGACUGUGUAAAACUGAACAAACUGAAAUAAAGUCUUCAAAGUAUUUUUUGGAUGAUACGGAAAGUUCCAGUGUUAAGAUAUAAGCUUCAGGAGCUGAACCGUAUGUUACCCUUCUAAUUGGAAAUAUGAGGAAUUAGAUGAAUUGUGCUUUGCCUUCGAAAAGAGCUUGGCUCUGCAGUUGUAUGAGUGUCAACACAUAUAUAGAUUCCAGACCUGUGUAUGCCUCAGGAUGGAAGAAAUGCAACAAAACUGCCCUCUUACACAUCUUUUUGAGAGUUUGAAAUGAAAUGAAAUCAUAAGCGGCCUGCAGAGCUGGGGCUGCAUAUAGUCCUCAUCCUGAUUACAGAAUUCUUAGGAAUAUAAAAACUUGGUGAUGUUCACACUUCAACACAAAAGGUAUGACUCUAUAGAGUAGCCACCUAAGAAAAUGAGAGCAAAUGUGAUGUUUUUCAAACUUUGAGCCUGCUUUCAGAAAAAGGUAUGUGGUGCAUGAAUGCAUGUUUUUUUCUGUUCAAAAAGCAAUGUUUUAAAGUGGGAAACUGUAUCUGUGCAGGGGGAAAAUAUACUUUUUCAGAUCUGAUUUUUCCCUAGAGAAGUCUGAAAGUGCAAAUAGUAAUUGAAAUUGCACUAAGACACUUGUAUUCUUACACAGAAGUGAGAAAACCAAGGUGUUACAUUUGUUAAUAGGCCCAGUCCUGACACAACAACAUACUAUCAAAAGAUAUGGCCUUGACAGAAUAUAGAUUUCUCCAUCUUUCUUUAAUCAUAAAAUCAUAGAAUAUUAGAAUCAUAAAGUUGGAAGAGAUCUCAUGGCCAUCCAAUCCAACCCACUGCCAAGAAGCAGGUAAAUUGCUUUCAAAGCACCCCCAACAGAUGACCAUCCAGAGUCUGCUUAAAAGUCUGCAAAAAAGGAGCCCCCACUACACUCCAGGGCAGGCUAAACAGCUUUCACAGUGAGGAAGUUCUUCCUAAUGUUCAGGUGGAAUCUCCUUUCCUGUAGUUUGAAGCCAUUGUUCUACAUUCUAGUCUCCAGGGCAGCAGAAAGCAAGUUUGCUCCCUCCUCCCUAUGACUUCCCCUCACGUGGCUUCUCCGGACACAUUCCAGCUUGUCAACACCUCCCUUAAAUUGCAGAGCUUAGAAUUGGACACAGUAUUCCAAGUGUGGUCUGCUCCUGGAAGCUAUUCCUUUUCUGGUAUAGUUCUUAGUAGAUGUCAUUCUUAAUGACAUUUGUAGGAAACACCUGUUUAGAUGGGGAGUAGAAUCCUGUUGAUUCUCCUUGACCUCUCACUGGCUUUUGAUAUCAUUAACCUAAGUGCCCUUCUAGAAUAGAGUUUGUUGUGGGUGAAACCACAUUGUGAUGAUUCUUCUUCAGCUUGUUUGGCUAUUUCCUCAAAAUGUUGUGGGUAUUCUUUUUGACCCUGUGGCAUUUAUGUUUUGAAGAUACACAAAGUUUUCUGUCAGCCCCCUGCUGUUCAAUAUCUAUAUGGAACUGCUAAGUGAGAACAUCAAAGAAUUUGAAUGUUUUGAUCUGGAUGAUAAGCAAUUCUGGUUCUCUUUUUCUCCUCUCAACUAGUUAAAAUGCAGGGUUCUAGGUCAGUGGUUAGCAAUAGUAAAGGAGUGGGUGAAGGCAAAUAAACAAACAAACCCUAUAUCCAUGCAUUGUUAUAGAUACAGGCAUGUAGCCGGGGGGAGGGGGGCUUGAGGAGCGUCAGUCCCCCCCCCCCCCGAAAUUCUCAGGGUGGUCUGCGAGAAGGCCUUAUUGGUAUUAUUUAAGCUGUUAUGUUUAUUCAUAUCAUGAUCUGAUCACCAUGCUCAAUAUAUCCCAUAUGCAUGGGGGUAUUGGGAUAAUGAUACAAAAGGUUUGCUAGGGUAGAUCCUCUCUCACUCAGA